AGAAGAGAUAGGAUUCGGGAAGAGAGAGAGAGAGAGACCGAGAGAGUAGAGAAGAGAGUGAUGUGAGUGAGUGGGGGACUCUGCCAACCACGCUGCCGCCAUCCAAGCCACCGCCACCACCACCACCACCACCACCACCACCACCACCACCACCACCACCACCACAGCCGUCGUCCACCCUGCGAGACUCACCUCACUGCCAUUGACCCACACCCACUGACCAGCCGAUCAACCUAGAGAGAGAAUAGGUAGCUCUACCGAUUCAGACUAAAUGGAUCGAGUUGUGAAUCAGUUGUUAACAAUGAUUGAUGGUUUUCACAAUAUGAACAACAUCUUCAUUGUUGGAACAACCAACAAAUUGGACCUUAUACAUCCUGCUCUUCUGAGCUACUUUGACUCCAAGUUGGACUGGAGCAGAUCUUAUAAGUCUCACAAGAUUGGCGCUUGUCAGAUGCUUUAACUCGGGUCAUGGGAGGCACACUGGGGAUAUUUUGCAAGCAUGAAGGAUAUAAGAAAAAAAUGUGAUCCAAUGUUGGAUUAAUCAAAACUCAUAUCCAAUAAAAAGAUAUUAAAUGAA